rnacentral:rRNA from 1 species
GCACAAGCGGUGGAGCAUGUGGUUCAAUUCGACGCAACGCGAAGAACCUUACCCAGGCUUGAACAGCGAGUGACCAGCUCCGAAAGGGGCCUUCCGCAAGGACACUCGUAGAGGUGCUGCAUGGCUGUCGUCAGCUCGUGUCGUGAGAUGUUGGGUUAAGUCCCGCAACGAGCGCAACCCUUGUUUGCUGUUGCCAUCACGUUAUGGUGGGCACUCUGCAAAGACUGCCGGUGAUAAACCGGAGGAAGGUGGGGAUGACGUCAAGUCAGCAUGGCCUUUAUGUCUGGGGCUACACACGUGCUACAAUGGCCGAUACAAACCGUCGCGAUACCGUAAGGUGGAGCUAAUCGGAGAAAGUCGGUCUCAGUUCGGAUCGUAGGCUGCAACUCGCCUGCGUGAAGUUGGAAUCGCUAGUAAUCGCGGAUCAGCACGCCGCGGUGAAUACGUUCCCGGGC